GUGUGUGUGUGUGUGUGUGUGUGUGUGUGUGUGUGUGUGUGUGUGUGUGUGUGUGUGUGUGUGUGUGUGUGUGUGUCUAUGUGUAUGUGUGUGUAUGUGUGGUGUUCUAUUCUGCAGUGGAAAGCAACUACAGACAGAGCUGUGGAAGUGUGAUCCCUCGCUCCCUCAGUGACAGCCACACUCCUCUACCACCAUCUCUUCAUGGUGCCUGAGGAUCAUCUCUCCGUUCUCGUAGUACAGCAUGCUGAGGGCGCUGGUGCGCACGGGGGCGCAGCAUGGCGAGGGGACGCGACUCGGGUGGAAGUGUUUCAGUAAACUCUGUGGGGUGACAGGAGCAGAGCAGUGAACUGCUCACCUGCAUGUAGGCGUGAUUUGUCGGGAGGAAGUCCUCUCCCAGUGGAUUGGGACACGCCCCUUCACAGCGGUAGGCGUUGUACUUUUUAGGGAAGACGAUCCAGGAGCCCCAUCCGAUCUGGUUGAAGUCGACGUACAUGUCCACUCUCCUGCAGAGGAGGAAUUUGGAGCGCUCGGCCGUACGCAGCAGACUGGCUUUGUCCUGCUCUCUGUCCCUUGAGCCCUCAUGAGAGAACACCACCAGCAGCGCUCGAUUCGUUCCUGCAUUCACCACCUUGACGCCUGACAGGCCACGACCU